AGGGGGACAACAGUUGGAAACGACUGCUAAUACCGCAUACGAUUCAACCUCGGCAUCGAGGAUGGAUGAAAGGUGGCCUCUAUUUAUAAGCUAUCACUGAAGGAGGGGAUUGCGUCUGAUUAGCUAGUUGGAGGGGUAACGGCCCACCAAGGCAAUGAUCAGUAGCCGGUCUGAGAGGAUGAACGGCCACAUUGGGACUGAGACACGGCCCAGACUCCUACGGGAGGCAGCAUG
rnacentral:rRNA from 1 species